AAUAGGUAUAGUUUUAUACUGUUUAUAUCCAACGUUUAACCGUUCGUCUUAUUUGAAAUUUUUUAUGAUUAUUAUAUUUGUUGAUAUUACAUGAUAAAAUAUGAACAAUACUUUAUGUGUGAUUUUUAUUUAUUUUUUUCAUAAACUUUUUUAAAUAAGACGGACGGUUAAAUAUUGGACACGGAUACCUACUGCAGUUUCG
rfam:Oryza glumipatula chromosome 2, whole genome shotgun sequence.